GUGCCACUCUGGCAGCAUAUAUUCUAAAACUCAAAUGAUACAGAGAAGAUUAGUGUGGUCCCUGCACAAGGAAGACACACAAAUUCAGGCUGUGAUAGUGCAUGCCUAU
ensembl:snRNA U6 U6 spliceosomal RNA